UUUAUAAAAACCUCUCAAUUAUUUCUGAAUUUGUAAUAUUCUAUGUGUCUUUAGUUCAGUUAAGUAAGAGUUAUUUCCCUUUUAGCAAGUGUAACUUCAUAUUGUUUAUGUAUCAAUGAAUUUUAGACAGUAAUUUUUUUAAAGGAAAUAACUCAAAUUUGAAUCCUCUUUACGCUUGGAAAGUCUUAAUUUAAUAUAUUUCACAAUAUUAAUUUUCUACUUAAAAUUAAUUCUAAUGCCUUAAAGAGAAGAAAUCUUAUAUCAAGGAUAUAUCAUGUAUCUCAAGUGUCUCCCUUAUUGCUGAUAAUCUUCAA
rnacentral:lncRNA from 1 species